GACGAACGCUGGCGGCGUGCCUAAUACAUGCAAGUAGAACGCACAGUUUAUACCUUAGCUUGCUACACCAUAGACUGUGAGUUGCGAACGGGUGAGUAACGCGUAGGUAACCUGCCUGGUAGCGGGGGAUAACUAUUGGAAACGAUAGCUAAUACCGCAUAAUAUUUAUUAUUGCAUGAUAAUUGAUUGAAGGUUGCUAUUGCAUCACUACCAGUUGGACCUGCGUUGUAUUAGCGAGUAGGUGAGGUAAAGGCUCACGUAGGAGACGAUACAUAGCCGAACUGCGAGGAGGAUCGGCCGCACUGGGACUGAGACACGGCCCAGACUCCUACGGGAGGGAGCAGGAGUGAAUCUUGGGCAAUGGACGAAAGUCUGACCGAGAAACGCCGCGUGAGUGAAGAAGGUUUUCGGAUCGUAAAGCUCUGUUGUAAGAGAAGAACGGGUGUGAGAGUGGAAAGUUCACACUGUGACGGUAUCUUACCAGAAAGGGACGGCUAACUACGUG
rnacentral:rRNA from 1 species